UACGUAGGGGGCAAGCGUUGUCCGGAUUUAUUGGGCGUAAAGAGCGUGUAGGCGGCCAAGCAGGUCAGCUGUGAAAACUCGAGGCUCAACCUCGAGACGUCGGUUGAAACCGCUUGGCUAGAGUCCGGAAGAGGAGAGUGGAAUUCCCGGUGUAGCGGUGAAAUGCGCAGAUAUCAGGAAGAACACCCGUGGCGAAGGCGGCUCUCUGGGACGGUACUGACGCUGAGACGCGAAAGCGUGGGGAGCGAACAGG
rnacentral:rRNA from 1 species